CCUACGGGAGGCAGCAGUGGGGAAUUUUGGACAAUGGGCGCAAGCCUGAUCCAGCAAUGCCGCGUGCAGGAUGAAGGCCUUCGGGUUGUAAACUGCUUUUGUACGGAACGAAAAGGUCUGCCUUAAUACGGUGGGCCCAUGACGGUACCGUAAGAAUAAGCACCGGCUAACUACGUGCCAGCAGCCGCGGUAAUACGUAGGGUGCGAGCGUUAAUCGGAAUUACUGGGCGUAAAGCGUGCGCAGGCGGUUAUAUAAGACAGAUGUGAAAUCCCCGGGCUCAACCUGGGACCUGCAUUUGUGACUGUAUAGCUAGAGUACGGUAGAGGGGGAUGGAAUUCCGCGUGUAGCAGUGAAAUGCGUAGAUAUGCGGAGGAACACCGAUGGCGAAGGCAAUCCCCUGGACCUGUACUGACGCUCAUGCACGAAAGCGUGGGGAGCAAACAGGAUUAGAUACCCUGGUAGUCCACGCCCUAAACGAUGUCAACUGGUUGUUGGGUCUUCACUGACUCAGUAACGAAGCUAACGCGUGAAGUUGACCGCCUGGGGAGUACGGCCGCAAGGUUGAAACUCAAAUGAAAUUGACGGCUGAGAGNGCGACGGACGACGACGAGGGGAGGAGG
rnacentral:rRNA from 1 species